rnacentral:rRNA from 1 species
GUAGGUGGGGUAACGGCUCACCUAGGCGACGAUCCCUAGCUGGUCUGAGAGGAUGACCAGCCACACUGGAACUGAGACACGGUCCAGACUCCUACGGGAGGCAGCAGUGGGGAAUAUUGCACAAUGGGCGCAAGCCUGAUGCAGCCAUGCCGCGUGUGUGAAGAAGGCCUUCGGGUUGUAAAGCACUUUCAGCGGGGAGGAAGGCGGUGAGGUUAAUAACCUCAUCGAUUGACGUUACCCGCAGAAGAAGCACCGGCUAACUCCGUGCCAGCAGCCGCGGUAAUACGGAGGGUGCAAGCGUUAAUCGGAAUUACUGGGCGUAAAGCGCACGCAGGCGGUCUGUCAAGUCGGAUGUGAAAUCCCCGGGCUCAACCUGGGAACUGCAUUCGAAACUGGCAGGCUAGAGUCUUGUAGAGGGGGGUAGAAUUCCAGGUGUAGCGGUGAAAUGCGUAGAGAUCUGGAGGAAUACCGGUGGCGAAGGCGGCCCCCUGGACAAAGACUGACGCUCAGGUGCGAAAGCGUGGGGAGCAAACAGGAUUAGAUACCCUGGUAGUCCACGCCGUAAACGAUGUCGAUUUGGAGGUUGUGCCCUUGAGGCGUGGCUUCCGGAGCUAACGCGUUAAAUCGACCGCCUGGGGAGUACGGCCGCAAGGUUAAAACUCAAAUGAAUUGACGGGGGCCCGCACAAGCGGUGGAGCAUGUGGUUUAAUUCGAUGCAACGCGAAGAACCUUACCUGGUCUUGACAUCCACAGAACUUUCCAGAGAUGGAUUGGUGCCUUCGGGAACUGUGAGACAGGUGCUGCAUGGCUGUCGUCAGCUCGUGUUGUGAAAUGUUGGGUUAAGUCCCGCAACGAGCGCAACCCUUAUCCUUUGUUGCCAGCGGUCCGGCCGGGAACUCAAAGGAGACUGCCAGUGAUAAACUGGAGGAAGGUGGGGAUGACGUCAAGUCAUCAUGGCCCUUACGACCAGGGCUACACACGUGCUACAAUGGCAUAUACAAAGAGAAGCGACCUCGCGAGAGCAAGCGGACCUCAUAAAGUAUGUCGUAGUCCGGAUUGGAGUCUGCAACUCGACUCCAUGAAGUCGGAAUCGCUAGUAAUCGUAGAUCAGAAUGCUACGGUGAAUACGUUCCCGGGCCUUGUACACACCGCCCGUCACACCAUGGGAGUGGGUUGCAAAAGAAGUAGGUAGCUUAACCUUCGGGAGGGCGCUUACCACUUUGUGAUUCAUGACUGGGGUGAAGUCGUAACAAGGUAACCGUAGGGGAACCUGCGGUUGGAUCACCUCCUUACCUUAAAGAA